rnacentral:rRNA from 1 species
ACACCCCUACGGGGGGCAGCAGUGAGGAAUAUUGGUCAAUGGCCGAGAGGCUGAACCAGCCAAGUCGCGUGAGGGAAGACGGCCCUACGGGUUGUAAACCUCUUUUGUCGGGGAGCAAAGCGAGUCACGUGUGACUCAUUGAGAGUACCCGAAGAAAAAGCAUCGGCUAACUCCGUGCCAGCAGCCGCGGUAAUACGGAGGAUGCGAGCGUUAUCCGGAUUUAUUGGGUUUAAAGGGUGCGCAGGCGGAGGUGCAAGUCAGAAGUAAAAUUGCGGGGCUCAACCCCGUACUGCCGUUGAAACUGC